AUUGAACGCUGGCGGCAGGCCUAACACAUGCAAGUCGAACGAGUGGCGGACGGGUGAGUAAUGUCUGGGAAACUGCCUGAUGGAGGGGGAUAACUACUGGAAACGGUAGCUAAUACCGCAUACCAUCAGAUGUGCCCAGAUGGGAUUAGCUUGUUGGUGGGGUAACGGCUCACCAAGUCGACGAUCCCUAGCUGGUCUGAGAGGAGGAACAGCCACACCGGAACUGAGAGGCGGGCCAGACUCCUACGGGUGGCAGCAGUGGGGGAUAUUGCACAAUGGGCGCAAGCCUGAAGCAGCCAUUCCGCGUGUAUGAAGAGGGCCUUGGGGUUUUAAAGUACUUUCAGCGGGGAGGCGUUACCCGCAGAAGAAGCACCGGCUAACUCCGUGCCAGCAGCCGCGGUAAUUC
rnacentral:rRNA from 1 species